rnacentral:lncRNA from 1 species
GAUUUAGUAAUUUUGGCUGUUGAGCAAGAUUGCGGAAGCUAAGUCUUCUAAUUCAUGUGAAAUUAUUGUCCUUUUUUCUUUCUUAGAUUUUUUGGGAUGUUGAAUACAGCCUUGGGAGUAAGGAAGCGGAGAUACUUCUUCAAUCCCAAAAUUUAUGUUGUUCUGUGAAUUACCAUGACAAGCAAGCAUUGAAUCUUUCUUGGCUAUCUAUAAAAUCUAUUGCAGCGGUACAUAGCUUCUGAAGUGCCGAGUAAAGGUGAUCAUGCCGAUCGCACUACAUGCUUUUGAAAAGCUAGAGCAAGAGCAGGCAGAACCAUCAACUCAAAGUGGUGUGCAAGCUAGCGUCAUGUCAGGUUAAUCCAAGCUCAUUCCGUUGGUAUGCCCCAUGGAUGGAUUUACUUACUUUGUUGUGUACUAGAGGUGCUCAAUGAACAAACUUCAGUGGGAUAGAAACACGGGUUUGUUGUAUUUCACAAAACUGAAACAUGAUACAUCUAUUUGUAUCGAUUUCUCCGACAAGUUCCGGGCGGAGGGAGUACUAUUCAUUUAAGAUAAACUUACCUAUUUUUAGAAAACUCAACUUUAUUGUGAGGUUUGAUAAUUCUUCUAUCCGGGGUUGGACUUAUAGUCGGUUGUCCAUACAGUACAUUACUUGUCGAAUAUUAUAUGGUUUCAGUUCUCGCAAACUACUCAAUAGUUUGCAGAUGAUUGAUGUAAUGCUAUUUUUAUGAUUUUUACACAUUAUCAGUUAUGUAUCAAAAGCUGAAGUGCCCCUUGAUCAAUGUAACCUGAAGAAGAUUUGUAUGAGUUGUAUGUAAUAGUAAUAUAGAAAUUAUGACUGAUGGAGAAAAAAAGGUGGUUGUAAUUGUAAAGAAGAGAAAAUGACUGUUGUAGAAUCUAGCAUGUCUACUAAUAAGCACAUGGCGAUGGAGAUAACUUUCUCAUUCACAACUUUCUUAUUUGCAAUGGCAGUGUCCACUGUUUUCUUCAUAAAAGUUUAUUAUUUGGUCUAUCAGUCGUAUGGUUUGAUAUUUGCUUUUUACAUAGAUGAAUACUUUUUUUGCCAACUGUAUCUAGAUGAAUACUUACAACACUGCUUAUUGUGAAAACUUGUUGUAUGUGUGAAUUUAUUUAUACUCUUGGUCCUGGCACACGGAGCCCAUAAGACGUUGAGUGUCCCGGUUGCUGUUGUACGUAUUUCAUUUGAUUAUGUUUCACGUGUGGAGUUCAUGAUCAAUUCAUCAUGAGCAUCAAUUAUCUUUACUGUUGAAUUUCUCUAUUUUUUUUUGUUAUAUGUUGAUGGUAGGACAAAGCGGACAUACAUCAGGAAUAAAUUCAGCUCACGGAAUAUUUUUAAAGAGAAGGUGGUUAAGGAGAUGCGAGCAAAAAGUGUGAGAGAACGGUAUUUUGCGACUACAUGAAUAAUGACAUGCUUGUAAAACACACAUUUUCAAAAUUAGAACAAUUGUUUGAUUAAUAUUGUUAUAUAUUUUUAUAUUUAUUUUGUGGCAAUGCAUUGGCAUUCAGUCCUAAUAAUUUUCUCAUCCACUUUGUCGAGUCAUUGUUCUUCAUUCUCUUUUAUUUUUCAUUUUCAAGUCUAUGUUGUUGUCCUUGUAGUAUCUGUAUCUAUCUUUUCCAUCAUGUUGUUUUGAUAACACACAUUUGUUGAUGGAGUUUGACACAAGAUGCUAGAGAUUGAGGACGUGUGUUUUUGUGUUUAAUUCUACAUGCAAAAUGAAGGGACACACUCUGUGUAUGUCUUUUUUUUUAAACAGAUCAUUUAGCACACCCUGUUCCACAUACAACUUAUGUUUCACUUAUUCUUUGUAUUUUUCAAGGGUGGGCUGGAGAAGGUUUUCCCUGGUUCUGAUUUCAAAUAGGUUAGAUGGGCUUAUCAGAUUUCAUUUGUGUGGCAGGAGGAACCAUACUUAAUGAGUGUUUGAUGCUCUAGAUGGGAUGUGUGGGACUUCAUGAGUGUUUGAUGCUCUAGAUGGGAUGCGGGGGAGGUUGCUUCAAAAUUUAUGUCGAUGUGUUUUUAGUCAAGCCAAUGUGUAGUUCAUGAUAUGUGAUGUGCAAGAAUAUCGUGUGUGUUGGGUUUUUCAUAUGUACUUUCCACUUAUGGCAUGAAUAACAUUAUGAAUGACUAUGUGUUGUAGACAGGAGUCUGGCUUUUCGUAAUAUGCCUUUUCUCUUAC